GCACAACGCGAAGAACCUUACCUACUCUUGACAUCCAGAGAACUUAGCAGAGAUGCUUUGGUGCCUUCGGGAACUCUGAGACAGGUGCUGCAUGGCUGUCGUCAGCUCGUGUUGUGAAAUGUUGGGUUAAGUCCCGCAACGAGCGCAACCCUUAUCCUUUGUUGCCAGCGGUUCGGCCGGGAACUCAAAGGAGACUGCCAGUGAUAAACUGGAGGAAGGUGGGGAUGACGUCAAGUCAUCAUGGCCCUUACGAGUAGGGCUACACACGUGCUACAAUGGCGUAUACAAAGAGAAGCGACCUCGCGAGAGCAAGCGGACCUCAUAAAGUACGUCGUAGUCCGGAUUGGAGUCUGCAACUCGACUCCAUGAAGUCGGAAUCGCUAGUAAUCGUAGAUCAGAAUGCUACGGCG
rnacentral:rRNA from 1 species